rnacentral:lncRNA from 1 species
UUUGCUCUUCAAAUUGAUUCUUCUCUUCAAACCUUCCGCGAUCAACUCUUCAAGACUCCAUUCAACUUUACGAAAUCCGCCAACCUAGAAAAUCCUUAACAAUCUCCCUCUUUGGCGAUUUUGUGACAAAACAUAAUACAACACUCAAAUACAACUCAGAAACAAUAAAAAGAAGAUCAUCGCAAUCACCAAAUGACAAUCUCCUGCAUGAUCGAUCCAAUAAAAGAAAAAAUUACAUUUUCCUCACAAUCUUAAUACAAACUCUAUGACUUAGACAUGGAGUUUUGAAGUCUUGAAAGUUCCUGCAAAAAACAUUCUCAAAACACAGUCAAGAUCCAAGAGUUUUCAUUAAAGAUCAAAUAUAAACAGUCAUAUAGUCAAGAGUUACGUUAGAAAAACCAUCAACACCUAAAUAAGCAUCAACAUCAUCAUCUAAAUACAUCACCAUCAUCAUCUAAAUACAUCAUCUGAAAGAAAACAACAUCUAACAUCUAAAAAGCAUCUAAAAAACAGCAUCAUCAUCAUCAUCUCCCCCUUUUUGUCAAGAAAACGCCAAAACGACAAAAAGAGGAACCCCGCACC